rnacentral:lncRNA from 1 species
CACUUAUUGGACUCAAAAGUUGACCAUACUAGUAUGAUUUUAUCUUGUACGGCCUUUUAUUUCAUAUUAGUAUAGUAGACUUACACAGACUUUACUACACAUAAUGACAGAGUUACAUAACUGGACCAUCAAUUGAAACCACCAACUAAAUCAAGCAAGUCAACAUGAUAAUCUAGGCAGAACCAUCAAUCAGAGUCAUUUAAUUCAAUAAACACAAGCAGGGGUCUAUUUGGAAAUAACCUCUUUAUCCAAGGAUAGGGGUAAGGUUUGCGUAUAUACUACCCUUCCAAGACCCCACUAAAUGGGAUUAUACUGGUUUAUUGUUGUUGUACUUUCCCACAUAGAAGAUGCAUAAUAGAAUCAGAUAAACGAAAGGAAAAAAUGCAUGAAUACAGCAACAGAAAAGCUACAAAAAAACAGAGAGAAGAAGCAACAGAAAAGCUACAAAAAUAAAAGGGAAAAACCCUUUCACCUGAGAAUCUUGCGGAGCAGCAACACGUGACUUCGAAUUUCAGCAGCAAAACCCUUUAACCCUAUAUUCACGCCCAAAAUUUUGUAUUUGAAGUAGAAAACUCACAUUGUUGAAUAGUGCUGAGAGUGGGAAUCUGUUCGAUAGAGAGGAGAGAAACUAAUUUAGCUGAAAAUUCAAUCAGAGUAAGUCAAAUCAAUCCUCGUAUCAUUUUUCAAAUAAAAGGAUAAAGAUUAAAGUGCUUGUUUUAUGUGUUGUUCCUGCUGUUGUUGGGGAUAAGAAGCUAGCUGAUGAUGGCCAAGAUUCAACCCAUUUGCUUCCUUCUCGCAGAACAUUUAAAUGAAGCCUAAUUGCCGGGCGUGUUCUCCUAAGUUUAUUUUUAGGGCGCAACUUUAGCGGCGGAAUUGGCGACCGAUCUAAUUUCUAUCGCUAAUAAUAACUAGUAAAAUUUUAUUUUAAUGUAAUAAAAUUUUUAGCAAUGGAAAU